rnacentral:lncRNA from 1 species
GUGGCCGGGAAGCCGCCCGGCCCUGUCCAGGUCUCCCGGGUCCGGUCUCCUGGUCUCUCCGCCACGGACCCCUGAGUCUGCAGAGUCUGCGAGUUCGGGGACAUUUGCCCCAGACACUUCACUGGCUGGGACGUCCCCUUACCUGGUUGAAAGUUAGAGGAAGCUCUGGCACUCAAUGUUGGUAUCUCUGCCUGCUCCUCCCCUCGUUCUUCUUAAAGUCUUCAGCCACACCCAUUUGGGCUUAAGACUCUUGCCUAAUCCUGUAACAGAAGUUUGGCUUCCGUUAGAGGAACUAUGAAAUCAGGUGGGGGUGGGGUCUCUCUAGGCGAGGAGUGGGGCAGUUGAAGACUCCAAGUGCCUAGAAAACUCACAAACGGCUUAUAAUGAUGACCAAGGUCUAACUAUCUUGCCCCCACAGCACCUCUGGCUGUCCGGAUUGGAGGAGCAGCGGUGUGUUUUGAAUGCAGAAAAUUAAACAGUUCCAUUGUCUGGCUGCCUAGGUAACAGAAUAUGAGCGUCGUGGACUGAAUUUUGUGCCUCCUCUCCAAAAAAUAUGUUGGAGUCCUAACCUCCAGCACCCGUGAGUUUGGAAAUGUGAAUGUGAUCUUAUUUGGAAAUGUCUUUGCAGAUGCAAUCAAGUCAAGAUGAGGUCAUUGGGGUGGACUCUUCUAAUGCAUCAGGGCUGGGUCCUUAUAACAAGAGAAAAAUGCACGUGAAGACAAACAUACAGGGGAAUAUGUGAGGACAGAGGCAAAGAUCUGAGUGAUGCUGCAGCAGACCAAGGAAUGCCUCAGUAUUGUCAGCCACCACUGGAAACUGGGAAGAGACAAGGAAGGAUUCUCCCCAACAGAUUUCAGAGGGAGCCUGGUCUGGGCUGACACCUUGAUUUUGGACUUAGAGCCACCCAAAUGAAGGUAACAUAUUUCUG